rnacentral:rRNA from 1 species
AUUGAACGCUGGCGGCAUGCCUUACACAUGCAAGUCGAACGGCAGCACGGGUGCUUGCACCUGGUGGCGAGUGGCGAACGGGUGAGUAAUAUAUCGGAACAUGUCCUGUAGUGGGGGAUAGCCCGGCGAAAGCCGGAUUAAUACCGCAUACGAUCUACGGAUGAAAGCGGGGGACCUUCGGGCCUCGCGCUAUAGGGUUGGCCGAUGGCUGAUUAGCUAGUUGGUGGGGUAAAGGCCUACCAAGGCGACGAUCAGUAGCUGGUCUGAGAGGACGACCAGCCACACUGGGACUGAGACACGGCCCAGACUCCUACGGGAGGCAGCAGUGGGGAAUUUUGGACAAUGGGCGAAAGCCUGAUCCAGCAAUGCCGCGUGUGUGAAGAAGGCCUUCGGGUUGUGAAGCACUUUUGUCCGGAAAGAAAUCCUUGGCCCUAAUACGGUCGGGGGAUGACGGUACCGGAAGAAUAAGCACCGGCUAACUACGUG